rnacentral:rRNA from 1 species
CCUACGGGACGCAGCAGUGAGGAAUAUUGGUCAAUGGCCGAGAGGCUGAACCAGCCAAGUCGCGUGAGGGAUGACGGCCCUACGGGUUGUAAACCUCUUUUGACGGGGAGCAAAGAGAGUCACGUGUGACUCAUUGAGAGUACCCGAAGAAAUAGCAUCGGCUAACUCCGUGCCAGCAGCCGCGGUAAUACGGAGGAUGCGAGCGUUAUCCGGAUUUAUUGGGGUUAAAGGGGGCGCAGGCGGAGGUGCAAGUCAGCGGUUAAAUUGUGGGGGUCAACCCCGUACUGCCGUUGAAACUGCAUCCC